rnacentral:misc_RNA from 1 species
UUGCGUAGUAGCCCAGCCAGGGGAGAAGAAGGGCAGAGGUCACGCAGGGAGGUGGAGGCGCCAUGGGAGGGGGCGAGCAGAGCUGCUGCUCAGCCAUGGGAGAGAGGGGGCGCUGGGGAAGCUGCUGCUCCCUGCGCUGAAUCAGAUCGGAGGGAAGCUCGGCGUGUGCUGCUGGAGAUGGUCGGCUGGAGCAAAGGGACCUGCGCCCAUGGAGCAGGGAGGGGCGCCGAGGGAGGAAUCCUCCCACGGCAACAGCAGCCAGCGCAGGAGCUCCAAGGGUCGCCAGCAGGGGCUCCAUGGCCGCCGUGCUCCCUUCCAUGGCCGGGCGUCCCUUCCUCCGGCGCACCGAAGCACCUCCCUGCGCUCAGCCUCUCUGACUCGGCGUCCUUGCAGCAGGCGAGCUCAGCCCCUCCCCUUCCUCCCCUCGGCCAGCCAUGGCGGGACGCCCUGCUUCCCAUGGCGCUCAUGCCCCCUGUCCUAGGCGCUCGCCUCCUCCAUGUUGGAUGGCCGGUCUGGGUGGUCGCUGCUGCCAUGAGAGCCAUGUCGGCUCCCUGUUCUCCAUGCCGCUGGGCUGCAGGAAGCCGCGUCCUUCUUCUCUACGCAGGGCGCCCGACCUCCCUGCGUCUCCCUCCUCGCUCCCCUCCCCAUGGCCACCUCCCUCUGCUCCUCCCAUUUUCCAUAGGAGCCGAGCUCCUUCUACCUGCAGCAGGCGCCCCCUGCUCUUCCCUGUCCGCGACCAGGGAGUUUCAGCUGGCGUGA